rnacentral:lncRNA from 1 species
UGUGGCUAGUUGACCCUUAUGUCUGGAUGAAUGGAUGGAGAAAUCAACUAGGAUGGGUUAUGUGUGGGUGUGUGUGCUAAUGGAUGCUCUCAACAAGUCUGCCCAGGAACUAGGGUGAGGAUUCGUGAAUUGUUGAUAUGACAAUAGUUUGUUUAUGAAAAAUUACCUAAGAUCUGUUAUAUAUGUGGACAUCUUAGAUUGACCAUAGAAUCUUAUGCAUGCUCUACCAGUCGUAGUGUUAAUUAUAAACCUAUUCUAGGCC